CGUUGUAAUGCCAUUGAACACAACUUUUGAUCAGAAUAACAGCUAAGCAUCCUACACACCACACCCAUGAACGCACCACAAUGGCAUUAACUAAACAGGCUACAGAGUCAACCAUCAGCCACUUUCGAGGUUCCCAAGCCUCAGACCAAGAUGGGACGUCAAGGUGCUCCAUGCACUUAUCUGGGGAGUCCCUUUUCUGCAAGGGGUCUGCUGACGAAUCGGGCCAGAGGAAUGUCUGCUGCCUCACCCUCUUAUCAAGCCUCCUCGGAGUUCAGAUGGCCAAUGACACCAUGGAGAGCACUGCACGUCGCUAUGGAGAGCAACACGGUCUGCCUUCAAAUGGAGCGCUCAUUAAACAGACAGAAAA